UUAAAGUCGGCCUUUUAAGAUUCGCAAGGCCCCUCACAAAAGAUUUACCGUCAUUGAAUUCCCCAUCUCGUCUGGGCCGUGUACCCAGAGGUGCGGUUCAGAGGCUUUGUUGUAUAUAUAGAGAUAAUUGUUUCAGUUAUACCAAUUGAUCAGGUAUAAUAUCUCAAGUAUUACAUGUAGUUAUUCCUUUGUUUAUCAAUCUUUUAAUGCCUUGAAGUU